rnacentral:rRNA from 1 species
AGAGUUUGAUCCUGGCUCAGGAUGAUCGCUGGCGGCGUGCUUAACACAUGCAAGUCGAGCGGAGCACAUCAUUGGAAUCCUUCGGGAGGAAGAGGAUGUGGCUUAGCGGCGGACGGGUGAGUAACGCGUGGACAACCUGCCCUAUGCAGGGGGAUAACAUCCGGAAACGGGUGCUAAUACCGCAUAAGCGCACAGUACCGCAUGGUACAGUGUGAAAAGCUGAGGCGGCAUAGGAUGGGUCCGCGUUGGAUUAGGCAGUUGGCGGGGUAACGGCCCACCAAACCGACGAUCAGUAGCCGGCCUGAGAGGGCGGACGGCCACACUGGGACUGAGACACGGCCCACACUCCUGCGGGAGGCAGCAGUGGGGAAUAUUGCACAAUGGGGGAAACCCUGAUGCAGCGACGCCGCGUGAAGGAAGAACUAUCUCGGUAUGUAAUCUUCUAUCAGCAGGGAAGAAAACAGACGGUACCUGACUAAAAAGCCCCGGCUAACUACGUGCCAGCAGCCGCGGUAAUACGUAGGGGGCAAGCGUUAUCCGGAUUUCCUG